UCGGCUCAUGGUGGCGCAUAGAGGUUCUCAUGGUGGUUGGCGUGCCCGUGGCAGCGGUAACCCCUUUUCUGGAUCUUAUGCAGGUGGGGUGGAGGUGGCCUCGGCGACUGGGGGUCUCGGACAUGGCUGUGAGCGGCUUGCUGCUGGUCGUAUGAACCCAGUAUCUACAGCUGUAGGUGGUGGUGCUCCACUGUGCGGGCGGUCGCAGGACUGGGUUUGACGGAAUGUGGUGAGCUACGUGUUGGGUGCGUGGUAAUGGCGUGAAGUCGAGCCCCGGUGUACUCGGUCUUGACACUCCGAUGGUUGUUUGACUUCUUCGGGCGCUUGGGUGUCCGCGUGGUUGGGUGACUUGAAGCGUCGCCCUUGUUGGCACGUAGGAGAGGGGGCUUGGGCUAGGCCAUGGCUAGUGGAAGAUAUGGUGGUGUGGUGGGUCUAGGGUUAGGUUGCAGGGGGCCUUGAGGGUUGGACCAGAUCCAGCCCAUGGAGGCCCACUGCUUCGGUGGCCUGUCUAUUUGGGCUGCCUCGACAUUGAUGCUGGUUGACCCCAAUGGUCCAUGCUCCCGGUCGAGGUAGGGCCCCGUGUGAGUGGACUUACAUUGAGGAUGUCCGAUCCUGAUCGACAGACAAUGGUUCUGCUCUGAUGUUGUCUGUGUUCGACUUCUUGGAUCUCAAUUGCCGUGCUGCUUCAAUGGUGGUGUGGUUUCGUCUUGCUUGCUGGGCGACGGUCGAUGAUGAUCAGGCUACAUGUGUGGCUCUGCGGCGUGCAGCGUGGCAGCGGUGGUGGCCCCACUUCUUGGCAAUGGGGUAGCAAGGGGAGGGGUGGCGAGUGGCCCUCGUGUCGUCGUGGCUUGGGCAGCGGUGAUCCCUGGUCUGGAUCAGGUGACCUGCGCGGGCGGUCGUGCCCCUUGUGGGUUGGGUUGGCAAUCUUGACACUGUGGGUGGCACUUGUGUGGGUCCGAGCGAAAGCUCUGCGCACUGACGCCAACAACGGUGGCACUUACAAAUGUCGCUUCCCUGGGGGUGGGGGGUGGGGUUGCUUUAGGUCCCUCACGGUGCCAGGGGUGAAAACCCUAGUCCGUCACUCAGAUUCAACGACGGUGACGCAUGGUGUCAUCACCUUCUUGAGGGCGUCCUUGUGGACCCCCGGCCCCUCUCAGUUGCAGAUGGCUUAUGGCGUCGGGCUUGCCUCUUGGCGUAGUGCGUGCUCGUCUCUAGCGAAAGGCGGAACCGGUGUUCUCCUAUCAUAUAGAUGUGUCCCCGUGAUCUCCGUUCUCGGUCCUUGCUGUCUCCUGGCAGGAGUGGCACUCCAUGGCCCGGAGCGAGGGGGCUGCCGCAACGGCGAGUUGGCCCUUUCUGGAGAUGGCUCGGUGUGUUUGGGGCCUUGGGGUUCAGUAGUCUUGGUUGUAGUAUGUUACGGGUGGCCUCUCUUGUUUUUCAUGUUUUGUGUUGGGUUAGUGGCCAUUAUUCCUCUCGACUUGCUUGUAUGAGGGCUUCCUCACCACUUUGUAUUGGUUUGGCAGUGUUUGCCUCUAUAAAGGGGGGUGCAAAUCUGUUUAGAGUAUCAACAUAUAACAUAUAUGCCCGAGCUACAAACUGGAUGUUCGGUUUUUUACUCCAUGAGCCCCUAAUAUGCCCAUGAUAAAAAAUGAUAUUUCAAAUGAUUUAAUAAAUUAGCUUGUUCAGUAUUUACCUCUGGGAGUUAGGUAAAUCACUGAUCAUGUAGCUUUGAUUGAGAUCAGAGCAAGAAUAUCCAGCAUGUUGGGUUAACAAUAGAACUAUUUUUCUUAUUGAUCUUAUCUGUUUAUAUUGUUGGUUUUGUCCAAUAAUGCUGAGAUGGCUCUACUUUUGAGCUUUUGGCACAACUUCCACAAGGGUUAAGCUCAUGUUUACUGUUUGAAUCAAUAGUAUAAAAUUUCGAGAUAUGUUUAGUGGCUUUUCAAUGAAUGAUUAUUACAAAAAAUGGUUUGACUGAUGACAUUGGUUGCUCUGCAGGUAUCGCUGAGAUGCAGAAAUGGCUUGCUUGUUGUAGGCGCUUCCAUGUAAUUUCUGUAACAAUUAGCCAACUGGCAUAAAUAUGCAAUGACUUUGCUUGGAUUCAUCAGUACCUUUCAGUUGGUCUUGUUUGCGUUGUAUCUGCCUGUUUAUAUUUUCUGGUUAUGCCCCAUUUUGUGUGUGUUUUAGGCUGAUGAAUGUCGAAAUAUUUAGCUUCCUUUGCUUUGUGGGGAACUAUAUUGGACGAGUUUGCCGGUGUUUGAAUACUUCUGUGAGUUGGCCUCUCAAGAAUUGAAAUUUCAGGAUUAACCGCCUCCACGCAUCGAUAACUGCCUCUACUUUGAUCUCUCAUAGAAAUUGAAACUGCUGGCUGCUUAGAGUUUAUGUUCCAUAGAAGUG
rnacentral:lncRNA from 1 species